CCUGUUGAGCUCCUGACACUAGACCUUAUGGACAAGCAUAGAAGAUUAAGGAUUCACAUUGUAAUGGGGAGUGAUAAGGAAUUUGUUGGUGUACUGCUAGGUCUUACACUAGGGUUUGCUGAUUUUGUCACUAUGAUGUUGGAAGAUGCCACAGAUUGAAAUUACACCAGAAACAAAAAAGAUAGAAAAUUAGAUCUGAAUUUGCUAAAUGGAAAGAAUAUAACAAUACUUGUUUCUGGAGGAGAA
rnacentral:lncRNA from 1 species